UACAACAUUAAUCAGAUACUGCAUUUAAGGUCUUGAUGUGGAGGAGAUGGAGGACUCAGAACCAAGAAUUUCCAAGUGAUUUCUUCCAAAGCACAAGAAACUGUUAGUGCUGGUGUGUUCUGACUGAGAACACUGAACCGGACACGCAAACCGUGGAGGGGACUCCAUCCUUUCUGCAGGGCCGAGGAAAAAAUCUUGCCAGCAGAGGUCACUGACGCUCCAGUUUGCGAUUUAGCAGCAGCCCAGGCAGGAGGCCAAUCCCGGUUUUCCGUGUGCCAACAAACUCCCUUUGUGCCGAUUAGAACUACACUCCCGUGCCCCCUGGGGUGGAAGAGAUGAGGUAAGUGUUCUUGGAGCCACUUCUGCCCUCUGAUACCCUUAGGGU
rnacentral:lncRNA from 1 species